GGGUCCAUAAUUCAACGGCAGAAUAUCGAGCUCAUAACUCGCCAGUUGCAGGUUCGAAUCCUGCUGGACCCA
rnacentral:tRNA from 1 species